UGGUUCAUAGCUCAAUGGUAGAGCACUCGGCUGUUAACCGAGUUGUUGUAGGUUCAAGCCCUACUGGAUCAG
rnacentral:tRNA from 1 species